rnacentral:rRNA from 1 species
GACAGAGGGUGCAAACGUUGUUCGGAAUUACUGGGCGUAAAGCGUGUGUAGGCGGCUACGUAAGUCGGAUGUGAAAGCCCCAGGCUCAACCUGGGAAGUGCACUCGAUACUGCGUAGCUUGAGUAUCGGAGAGGUUGGUGGAAUUCUCGGUGUAGAGGUGAAAUUCGUAGAUAUUCGGAAGAACACCAGUGGCGAAGGCGACUUACUGGACACAUAUUGACGCUGAGGUGCGAAAGCGUGGGGAGCAAACAGG